GUGGUUUUAUUUACACUCAUUCUGUGUGAUUGGAGUGUGUUUGAAAGGUGUGGUCUCACAUCAUGCCUCCUCUGCCUGGGGCUCAGCAGAAUUCAGCCCUUGCCUGUGGCUGUAAAAGGAGGAGACUGCUGCAUGUAGAGUAAAACGACUGUGUGAAAAAAAACAUCACUGUUUUCCUUCUGUGUUUCUUCAGAAUAUACACUCCUGCGGGGAAUGCUGAAGUGCACAAAAAUAAGUGUCUGCCAGUCCAUUGCAGGACGAAAGCUGCCUGGCAUUGCGUCACUGGACUGCAGAGAGGCAGGAAGAGCCAGGUUUGUCACCAGGAGCCCUUACGCAUACUCUGGAGUGGACACUGAAAAGUUUAAGUUACACAUAUGUAGUGCACAACUUAUGAAGAUGAGUCCUCCAGGUGAUGCAAGCCAAGAGUCCAGCAAAAAGGACAUCCCUGAAGAAUUGUGUCACACUGUGUCUUGGUCUUAUUCCUGAUAGAAGAAACCAUAAUACUGUAAAAUACAAUUAACUUGCUUUUGUAUAUUCAGAGAUGAUAGUCCCAGGAAGAAUGGUGAAGAAGCGGUAUCUUGUUUUAGCACUUGGACCUGAGAAAGCGUUACUUGUCCCAACACCUUAGUCACCCAGUGAGAUCUUACCAAACCUCUGGUUUUGCUUUACUCAAUUCCUGGACUCACUAUACAAAGGUUUUGAACGACAGCUUGAUUCAUUUCUUCAGGAAAGAGAUGUAUAUAAAGACACCCAGGAAUGACAAACUUGCAUUCUGUAAGAUCAGUCACUGAAAGACUGAGUGCAGAAAUGAUGGCUAGAAAAUUAAGGAGGGGGAUAAGGAAAGUUAAAGGAGUUGUGCAUGACAGGCAUUAACUUUUAAUCCACUGAGAAUGCUGAGUGUAUUUUUUGGAUCUGCAUUUCCUCAUCCAGGUAAUCAGGUAUAUAAUCCAGGUAAUAAACUUCACAAGUUAAUUUCUUGAAACACGGAAAGGUUUCCAAAAAGCAUUAUUAUCUGGAAAAGACAUUGUCUUUUUCAAAUUGCACAUUUGUGCUGCAUUACAACUAGUCUGAGAGAGCUUGUCUGGUAAGCACAUAAUUUUCUGUUACAUUGGGAAAAUAAUCAUUAUUUUAGAGCCUUUUCUCUACUAGUUCUGUUUCUGCAGUGCAGGAAGAUAGUUAUUGGCUUUUUCCAAUACACUGAUGGCAAAACAGGCUUUUCAAGAACAUGAAAUUAAUAGCUUUCUCAUUUCUCCCUGCUUGAAUACUACUAUAGAUUAUUGAGGACCUCAGCAGCAAAAUUUUUCUGGAAAGAAAAGGCUACACUAUACUUCAAAGGAAAAUGAAAUGCCUGAUUAAAAAAAUUACUGCGCUGACUUUCCUGCCUACUCUCCAACAAUGCAAUGUGCACACAGCACAUCAAAGAAGAAACUUGGAUGCAUUAUUAUAUACUAAAAGGUCUGAUCACUGCAUGGACUGCUGUGUUGCUGUAGACAUAACCAUCACUGGCAUAAGGCUGGCUGCCUCAGUCCUUCAUGCAAAGAGGGUAAAGAUACAC
ensembl:lncRNA